rnacentral:rRNA from 1 species
GAUGAACGCUGGCGGCGUGCCUAAUACAUGCAAGUCGAGCGAACAGACGAGGAGCUUGCUCCUCUGACGUUAGCGGCGGACGGGUGGGUAACACGUGGAUAACCUACCUAUAAGACUGGGAUAACUUCGGGAAACCGGAGCUAAUACCGGAUAAUAUAUUGAACCGCAUGGUUCAAUAGUGAAAGACGGUUUUGCUGUCACUUAUAGAUGGAUCCGCGCCGCAUUAGCUAGUUGGUAAGGUAACGGCUUACCAAGGCAACGAUGCGUAGCCGACCUGAGAGGGUGAUCGGCCCCACUGGACCUGAGACACGGUCCAGACUCCUACGGGAGGCAGCAGUAGGGAAUCUUCCGCAAUGGGCGAAAGCCUGACGGAGCAACGCCGCGUGAGUGAUGAAGGUCUUCGGUUCGUAAAACUCUGUUAUUAGGGAAGAACAAAUGUGUAAGUAACUAUGCACGUCUUGACGGUACCUAAUCAGAAAGCCACGGCUAACUCCGU